rnacentral:tRNA from 1 species
GCCUUCGUGGUGUAGUGGUCAGCACACUUGACACGUAACCGAGAAGUCCGCGGUUCGAUUCUCGGCGAAGCCG